AGUUGUAUCCUGGCUCAGGAUGAACGCUAGCGGCAGGCUUAACACAUGCAAGUCGAGGGGUAACAGGGAGCUUGCUCUGCUGACGACCGGCGCACGGGUGCGUAACGCGUAUAGAACUUACCUUUUACAGGGGGAUAGCCUUUAGAAAUGAAGAUUAAUAUCCCAUAGUAUUGAGAACUGGCAUCAGUUUUUAAUUAAAGAUUUAUCGGUAAAAGAUGGCUAUGCGUCCUAUUAGCUGGAUGGUAAGGUAACGGCUUACCAUGGCUACGAUAGGUAGGGGCCCUGAGAGGGGGAUCCCCCACACUGGUACUGAGACACGGACCAGACUCCUACGGGAGGCAGCAGUGAGGAAUAUUGGGCAAUGGAGGCAACUCUGACCCAGCCAUGCCGCGUGCAGGAAGACUGCCCUAUGGGUUGUAAACUGCUUUUAUACAGGAAGAAACACUCGUACGUGUACGAGCUUGACGGUACUGUAAGAAUAAGGACCGGCUAACUCCGUGCCAGCAGCCGCGGUAAUACGGAGGGUCCGAGCGUUAUCCGGAAUCAUUGGGUUUAAAGGGUCCGCAGGCGGUCAAUUAAGUCAGAGGUGAAAUCCCAUAGCUUAACUAUGGAACUGCCUUUGAUACUGGUUGACUUGAGUCAUAUGGAAGUAGAUAGAAUGUGUAGUGUAGCGGUGAAAUGCAUAGAUA
rnacentral:rRNA from 1 species